CCUACGGGAGGCAGCAGUGGGGGAUAUUGCACAAUGGGGGAAACCCUGAUGCAGCGACGCCGCGUGAGUGAAGAAGUAUUUCGGUAUGUAAAGCUCUAUCAGCAGGGAAGAAAACAGACGGUACCUGCCUAAGAAGCCCCGGCUAACUACGUGCCAGCAGCCGCGGUAAUACGUAGGGGGCAAGCGUUAUCCGGAUUUACUGGGUGUAAAGGGAGCGUAGACGGCAAUACAAGUCGGAAGUGAAAUACCCGGGCUCAACCUGGGAAUUGCUUUGGAAACUGUAUGGCUGGAGUGCUGGAGAGGUAAGCGGAAUUCCUAGUGUAGCGGUGAAAGGCGUAGAUAUUAGGAGGAACACCAGUGGCGAAGGCGGCUUACUGGACAGUAACUGACGUUGAGGCUCGAAAGCGUGGGGAGCAAACAGGAUUAGAUACCCUUGUAGUC
rnacentral:rRNA from 1 species